rnacentral:rRNA from 1 species
GACGAACGCUGGCGGCGUGCUUAACACAUGCAAGUCGAACGGAAAGGCCCUGCUUUUGUGGGGUGCUCGAGUGGCGAACGGGUGAGUAACACGUGAGUAACCUGCCCUUGACUUUGGGAUAACUUCAGGAAACUGGGGCUAAUACCGGAUAGGAGCUCCUGCUGCAUGGUGGGGGUUGGAAAGUUUCGGCGGUUGGGGAUGGACUCGCGGCUUAUCAGCUUGUUGGUGGGGUAGUGGCUUACCAAGGCUUUGACGGGUAGCCGGCCUGAGAGGGUGACCGGCCACAUUGGGACUGAGAUACGGCCCAGACCCCUACGGGAGGCAGCAGUGGGGAAUAUUACACAAUGGGCGGAAGCCUGAUGCAGCAACGCCGCGUGCGGGAUGACGGCCUUCGGGUUGUAAACCGCUUUCGCCUGUGACGAAGCGUGAGUGACGGUAAUGGGUAAAGAAGCACCGGCUAACUACGUG